rnacentral:rRNA from 1 species
CCUACGGGAGGCAGCAGUGGGGAAUAUUGGACAAUGGGGGCAACCCUGAUCCAGCCAUGCCGCGUGUGUGAAGAAGGCCCUCGGGUUGUAAAGCACUUUCAGUGAGGAAGAACGCCUGGUGGUUAAUACCCAUCAGGAAAGACAUCACUCACAGAAGAAGCACCGGCUAACUCCGUGCCAGCAGCCGCGGUAAUACGGAGGGUGCGAGCGUUAAUCGGAAUUACUGGGCGUAAAGCGCGCGUAGGUGGCUUGAUAAGCCGGUUGUGAAAGCCCCGGGCUCAACCUGGGAACGGCAUCCGGAACUGUCAAGCUAGAGUGCAGGAGAGGAAGGUAGAAUUCCCGGUGUAGCGGUGAAAUGCGUAGAGAUCGGGAGGAAUACCAGUGGCGAAGGCGGCCUUCUGGACUGACACUGACACUGAGGUGCGAAAGCGUGGGUAGCAAACAGGAUUAGAUACCCCGAUAGUC